GACGAACCGAGCGAACGUUAUUCGGAAUCACUGGGCUUAAAGGGUGCGUAGGCGGGCCGUAAAGUCAGGGGUGAAAUCCUCCAGCUCAACUGGAGAAGUGCCUCUGAUACUUGCGGCCUCGAGGGAGGUAGGGGCGUGCGGAACUUCCGGUGGAGCGGUGAAAUGCAUAGAUAUGACAUAGAACACCAAUUGCGAAGGCAGCUGGCUACACAAAUAUUGACGCUGAGGCACGAAAGCGUGGGGAUCAAACAGG
rnacentral:rRNA from 1 species